rnacentral:tRNA from 1 species
GUCCUCUUCGUCUAGUGGUCAGGACCUCGCCCUUUCAAGGCGAAAACAUGAGUUCAAUUCUCAUAGGGGAU